rnacentral:lncRNA from 1 species
UCUCUCUUUGAAGACCCCAAUUCAUAAUGACGGAAUGUUGCUCUGUCGCCCAGUCUGGAAUACAGUGGCGUGAUCUCAGUUCACUGCAACCUCCUUCUCCCGGGUUCAAGCGAUUCUCCUGCCUCAGCCUCCCGAAUAGCUGGGACUACAGGUGUAUGCCACCAUGCCCAACUAAUUUUUGCAUUUUUAGUAGAGAUGGGGUUUCACCAUGUUGGCCAGGCUGGUCUCGAACUCUUGACCUCAGGUGAUCCACUCGCCUCAGCCUCCCAAAGUGUUGGGAUUACAGAGGGGAGCCACCGCGCCUGGCCUGAUUUAUUUUUUUAGAGAUGGGGUCUCACUAUGCCGCCUAAGCUCGUCCUGAACUCCUGGGCUCAAGUGAUCCUCCUGCCUCCGCCUCCUGAGUAGUUGGGAUGACAGGCACAUGUCAAAACUAUUUUGUGCCUUUUUAGAUGUAGAAUGCCCACUCAUGCAAAAAUAUUGUUCCACUAAAAACUGCCAGAUAGGCUUGCUUUCAAAGGCAUGCUGGAACUCUAGACCCAAGCACACACUAGACACAAGCAUCCUCAAUGCCUCGAUGGCAAAUUGCUCCAGAGCUUUGGCACUCCUGCACAAAGAACAAGAAGGAGCUUGAUGUGACAAAAAUCAACACUUCCAAAGGGAAAAAAGGAAGAAAUCACCGUUUCCAUUUGAAAUAGCCACCCUUUCCAUGCAUGGCUUUCUUCAGACAGGGUUGAACACCUGGGCCAAUACAUGGCAUGGCAUAGGUGAGGGACACAAGACUGCUCCACGAAUGAGGCUGCCAUGCUGGGGGGAAGAGUGUUGUCACUGAACGCAAGAACCUGCUCUACGGCUGAUGCUGCCGCCCGCCACACCCUGCCUCCUGGGAGAGACAGCCCUCUAUUCUUCCCCUCCCUACAUGAACACGCUCCACAGUAUGAUUUCACAGUGUUCCCCAUCCAGAGGUGGAGCUGCAUCUUCAUUCUGAAAAUCCAGGCUUUAGCCAACAGAAUGUCACACAAGUGAAGGCAUGGUGGCUCUAAGCCCAGGCACGCUUCUCUUCAUGCUCUUGGUACCCUGUCUGGUCACCAUGUGAUGAAGCCUGGCCUGGCUUCCUGGAGGGAUGUGAGAGCCCACAUGAAGCUGAGAUGAGCCAUUCCACCUAAAGUCCCAGAUACAUAAGAAGACCCAGGAAACAUGGUCAAAGCGCUGGCCACACCUACAGUUGACUGCACACAAGAGAGGGAGUUCAGAAGAGACCAGGAGGACCACUAGAAUGGUGUCAGCCCAAAUUGCUGACUCACAUAAUCACGAACAUAAUAAAUGGUUGUUAUU